AUGGAAGACUUUCUGGCUUGGAGAUUUACAAAGAACAACAUCUUCUCGGUAAGAUCAGCUUAUUACGUUGAAUGGGAUCAUCAAUUUGCUCGUUGGUACGAGAGAACAGAGGGACAACCAUCACAACGACACCCGAUCUGGGCGAAUCUGUGGAGUUUUCAAGUGCCAGCGAAGAUCAAGAUCCAUGCUUGGAAGGUUUUACAUGGAUUUAUUCCUUGCCGUGGGGUUCUGGUGAACCGGCACAUUGGCACGGAAGAUAGUUGCCCCAUGUGUGCUGGUGGAUGUGAGGACAUCAUGCACUCACUGUUUACCUGCCUGAGAGCAGCUAAAAUUUGGAGCUGCCUGAAGCUGGACAAAUUCAUUGAUGAAGCUUGCUUGACUGAUAGGGCGGGAACGGCGGCAUUGGACUAUAUUUUAUGCGCCCCGUCACGAGUGAGUUUGAUAUAGCAUGCUCCUGCCCAAGCUCUCAUCCUAGUUGGAAUUUGGUAUAUAUGGUGGGAACGACGACAACACGUUCAUGGUGAGGAGGUGCAAACCCCGGCUCGGUCAGCGCUGUCGAUUGUGGCGCUAACUGCUAAUUAUUUCAAGGCCAUGAAGAAAAGCGCCGAACCGAGGAGAAAUGGUUGGACAAAGCCGCUUGAAGGUUUCGUGAAGCUAAACGUAGAUGCAUCAUUCAGGGCACUCUCCCUCCAGGGAGCUGUUGGUGUUGUCCUACGGGAUCACAAGGGUGGAUUCGUUGCGGCGUCCAGCGAACAACUGGAGCAUGUUGCAGAUGCGGGGACGGCGGAAGCUUAUGCUCUUCGACGUGGAUUACUACUGGCGCAAGAACUGGGGAUAAGCAAGCUUGUGGUUGAGUCGGACUGUCUCGAGGUGAUCAAUACCAUGCAGAAUGGAGGCUUUACGGCUUCAGGCGCAGUGGCGAUUUAUUCGGAUUGUUUGGUCCUGGUUAUAGGAUAUACUUCGGUCACAUUUGUCCACUGCCCUAGAGAGGCAAAUUCUGUAUCUCACGAUCCAGCUAGGCUGGCGAGGCCGUCCCCUUCACUGUGGGUCGAGGAACCGCCGGGUUUCAUUGUAAAAGGCUUGGUGGACGAUGUAACAAUUAUAUGA
rnacentral:rRNA from 1 species